rnacentral:rRNA from 1 species
CCCUAUGGGGUGCAGCAGGCAUAAAGGUCAAGGGCAUGCCGGAUAGCGACGUUGACCGAGCGGAAACCCGUCCCGAUCGGCGUAGUCAUCGGUCCUUUAAGCGCGACUUUAUUUUUCUUGAUCGACGACAGUGUCGCCUCAGGCAGCAGGCUGCCUUCUUUUUCCAGGGCGACCGCACCCGCAAGGGCGGUUUCCCAGUUGAUCUUGACUCCCGUGGCAUCAAUGCACCGUUGCGCAGCCAGCGAGACUUCCGGACCGAUGCCAUCCCCGGGUAUUAGUGUUAUUGUAUGGCUCAUAGGUUUGACAGUAGCUUUGUUAAACUUCGGGAAGCUUGCCGUAUUUGGCAUAGUAAUUAACGAUGCCGCCUUCUCUUAAGAGUUCCUGCAUAAUUGGCGGGAGGGC